rnacentral:rRNA from 1 species
CGGACGUAGGUAACCUGCCUGGUAGCGGGGGAUAACUAUUGGAAACGAUAGCUAAUACCGCGUAACAGUAGAUGUUGCAUGACAUUUGCUUAAAAGGUGCAAUUGCAUCACUACCAGAUGGACCUGCGUUGUAUUAGCUAGUUGGUGGGGUAACGGCUCACCAAGGCGACGAUACAUAGCCGACCUGAGAGGGUGAUCGGCCACACUGGGACUGAGACACGGCCCAG